rnacentral:rRNA from 1 species
AGAGUUUGAUCCUGGCUCAGAACGAACGCUGGCGGCGCGCUUAAUACAUGCAAGUCGAACGAGAACGUCUGGCUUCGGUCGGACUAGUAAAGUGGCGAACGGGUGAGUAACACGUGAGGAACAUGCCCUUAUGUUUGGGAUAAGCCUGCGAAAGCGGGUCUAAUACCGGAUGUGGUCAGGAGAUGGCAUCUUCUCCUGAUUAAAGGUGGUUGAGUCUAUGCCACCGCAUAGGGAUUGCCUCGCGCUCCAUUAGCUUGAUGGCGGGGUAACGGCCCACCAUGGCUUCGAUGGAUAGCCGGCCUGAGAGGGCGACCGGCCACACUGGGACUGAGAUACGGCCCAGACUCCUACGGGAGGCAGCAGUAGGGAAUCUUGCGCAAUGGGCGAAAGCCUGACGCAGCGACGCCGCGUGGAUGACGAAGCUUCUUGGAGUGU